GUUCGAAUUGUAGUCUGGAGAAG
rnacentral:snRNA from 1 species